rnacentral:lncRNA from 1 species
GUUCGGGCCCGCGGCGAGAGGCGGCGGCGCUUGCGCUCGCAGUGCGCGGCCGGCGGCGAGCAUAGUGGCGGCGAAAGCUGGGCGUGAAGCUAUUUUUUUCAGCGUUUGGUCCCGGUUUUAGCCACUCAUCAUCGGGGCUAAAGGUUUUUCUAGUUCCGGUUGAUAUAACCGUGACUAAAGGUUGGGACUUUAGUCUCGGACUGACGGUCCCGGUUGGAAAACCGGGACUAUUGUAUGUUUCCGAUCGGGAUUAUUGACCUAUUCUGUAGUAGUGGGUUCAACCCUGAAGGGAUAUAUUCCUCUCAUAUGCGGGUCGGAGUGGUCCGUUCAAGUCGAGCGGAC